rnacentral:rRNA from 1 species
AUUGAACGCUGGCGGCAUGCCUAACACAUGCAAGUCGAACGGCAGCACAGUGUGUAGCAAUACGCAUGGGUGGCGAGUGGCGGACGGGUGAGGAAUACACAGGAAUCUGCCCUGUAGCGGGGGAUAGUCCGGGGAAACUCGGGGUAAUACCGCAUACGACCUACGGGUGAAAGAGGGGGAUCGUAAGACCUCUCACUAUAGGAUGAGCCUAUGUCGGAUUAGCUAGUUGGUGGGGUAAAGGCCUACCAAGGCGACGAUCCGUAGCUGGUCUGAGAGGACGACCAGCCACACCGGAACUGAGACACGGUCCGGACUCCUACGGGAGGCAGCAGUGGGGAAUAUUGGACAAUGGAGGAAACCCUGAUCCAGCAAUGCCGCGUGUGUGAAGAAGGCCUUCGGGUUGUAAAGCACUUUAGGCCGGGAAGAAAAUGCAUCACCUAAUACGUGAAGCCUUGACGGUACCGGCGGAAUAAGCACCGGCUAACUCUGUGCCAGCAGCCGCGGUAAUACAGAGGGUGCAAGCGUUAAUCGGAUUUACUGGGCGUAAAGCGUGCGUAGGCGGUUCAGUAUGUCGGUCGUGAAAUCCCCGGGCUUAACCUGGGAACUGCGGCCGAAACUGCUGGGCUCGAGUGUGGUAGAGGGCGGCGGAAUUCCGGGUGUAGCGGUGAAAUGCGUAGAGAUCCGGAGGAACAUCAAUGGCGAAGGCAGCCGCCUGGGCCACAACUGACGCUGAGGUACGAAAGCGUGGGGGAGC